AAUAGAUACCCGGGUAGUCCACGCCGUAAACGAUGAGUGCUAAGUGUUAGAGGGUUUCCGCCCUUUAGUGCUGCAGCUAACGCAUUAAGCACUCCGCCUGGGGAGUACGGUCGCAAGACUGAAACUCAAAGGAAUUGACGGGGGCCCGCACAAGCGGUGGAGCAUGUGGUUUAAUUCGAAGCAACGCGAAGAACCUUACCAGGUCUUGACAUCCCACUGACCGGUAUAGAGAUAUACCUUUCCCUUCGGGGACAGUGGUGACAGGUGGUGCAUGGUUGUCGUCAACUCGUGUCGUGAGAUGUUGGGUUAAGUCCCGCAACGAGCGCAACCCUUGAUCUUAGUUGCCAGCAUUUAGUUGGGCACUCUAAGGUGACUGCCGGUGACAAACCGGAGGAAGGUGGGGAUGACGUCAAAUCAUCAUGCCCCUUAUGACCUGGGCUACACACGUGCUACAAUGGAUGGUACAAAGGGCUGCAAGACUGCGAAGUCAAGCCAAUCCCAUAAAACCAUUCUCAGUUCGGAUUGCAGGCUG
rnacentral:rRNA from 1 species